AACGAACGCUGGCGGCAGGCUUAACACAUGCAAGUCGAACGCAUCGCAAGAUGAGUGGCAGACGGGUGAGUAACGCGUGGGAACAUACCCUUUUCUACGGAAUAGCUCUGGGAAACUGGAAUUAAUACCGCAUACGCCCUACGGGGGAAAGGUUUAUCGGGGAAGGUUGGGCCCGCGUUGGAUUAGCUAGUUGGUGGGGUAAAGGCCUACCAAGGCGACGAUCCAUAGCUGGUCUGAGAGGAUGAUCAGCCACAUUGGGACUGAGACACGGCCCAAACUCCUACGGGAGGCAGCAGUGGGGAAUAUUGGACAAUGGGCGCAAGCCUGAUCCAGCCAUGCCGCGUGAGUGAUGAAGGCCUUAGGGUUGUAAAGCUCUUUCACCGAUGAAGAUAAUGACGGUAGUCGGAGAAGAAGCCCCGGCUAACUUCGUGCCAGCCGCCGCAGUAACAC
rnacentral:rRNA from 1 species